AUUGAAUGCUGGCGGCAGGCCUAACACAUGCAAGUCGAACGAGUGGCGGACGGGUGAGUAAUGUCUGGGAAACUGCCUGAUGGAGGGGGAUAACUACUGGAAACGGUAGCUAAUACCGCAUACCAUCAGAUGUGCCCAGAUGGGAUGAGCUUGUUGGGGGGGUAACGCCUCACCAAGGCGACGAUCCCUAGCUGGUCUGAGAGGAUGACCAUCCACACUGGAACGGUGACACGGUCCACACUCCUCCGUGAGGCAGCAGUGGGGAAUAUUGCACAAUGGGCGCAAGCCUGCUGCAGCCAUGCCGCGUGUAUGAAGAAGGCCUUCGGGUUGUAAAGUACUUUCAGCGGGGAGGCGUUACCCACAGAAGAAGCACCGGCUAACUCCGUGCCAGCAGCCGCGGUAAUAC
rnacentral:rRNA from 1 species